UACAGAGGGCUCAAGCGUUGUUCGGAUUCAUUGGGCGUAAAGGGUGCGUAGGCGGCGCGGUAAGUCUGGUGUGAAAUCUCGGAGCUUAACUCCGAAACUGCAUUCGAUACUGCCGUGCUUGAGGACUGGAGAGGAGAGUGGAAUUUACGGUGUAGCGGUGAAAUGCGUAGAUAUCGUAAGGAAGACCAGUGGCGAAGGCGGGUCUCUGGACAGUUCCUGACGCUGAGGAACGAAAGCUAGGGGAGCAAACAGG
rnacentral:rRNA from 1 species